UCUAUUUUCACUUCCGGCUUUUCGGCUUGGCUGGGUAUUGUUGUCAAAUUGUUGAAUGAAAACGUUUAAUUUUCAAUUUAUAUAAUUUAUUGACCUAUACAAAUAUAUUUGGUAAGUAUAGGAACUAGAAUUAUGUCCAUUUUACCAAACAAACCUCAAAAACAUUAAACCUACACAAGAAAUGGACUCUCAUCAGCAUUGUUUUUAAACGCAUUUUAAAACAAUGCCAGUUUUUGGGAUACAUAGAAAACAUAGGAAAAUAGGUGAUCAGAUACGAAGUGAAAUACUUCUCUCACUCUGAGUCUCAGUGACUGCUGUGGAAAGUAAACUUGGAAUUGAUAGUACAAAAAUAAAACACAAUAGGCCUAAGAACAUUGUUCAUAAACUUUUAACCGGGAUUGGCUAUUUUGUAACUAUUCAGCUUUAUACAUGUACAUAAAUUACAUUUUACAUUUGCAGUUGAAUCGGUUUUGAAAAUAAUAUUAUCCAGCUACAUGCAUGACAUGUAUUCAUGUGGGUAUCUGGAUGAUUUGUUCCAACUCCGAUUCGUACCAACAUGGCCAACAACACAGUGUAGAAUGGUAACGGACUUAUCAGGUUUUUGUCGACGUUUCCGCACUAAUUGGGUUCGGCAACAGACUUAUCACGUUUUGUUUUCAGACAGUGUGACACAAAAUGAGCCAAAUAGACGAAAAGAAGUCGUUAGUGUUUAUGUUUAUAUGAUCACAGAAGGCACCGAUGAUCUUACUUUGCAAAAAUUUUCAUUUUGCUUCAGUACCACUCUUGGCUUUUUCAAAAAGCUCCACACUAAACAGGACAACAGGCCGAACACAGCUACUAAUAGUGUGUUUUCCGUUCAAAUACACAAUAUAUUAGAAUGUCGACUUUUUGUGCCCCUUUAUUUCAUACAAAUAACAUAUUAGAACCACUUGUGUGCAUUCAAAGACUUAGAAUAUCGUAUAUAAAAGCUUUAUCAAAAUUGGUUGGCAGCAGACUAAUCGGGUUUCCCUAAAAUGGCAUGUUUUUUAACACCGAACUGUUGAGGUUUAUUUAGCACGAGACUUAUUGUGUUUUUAUUGUUUUACCAGGGUAAAAAAUUAUGUUUUUAUAAAACUGUGAAUAUUGAAAAUGUUUUGGUCGUAUAUUGGUAUCACGUUGUCGUCGUCGUUGAAUUGAAUAAUUGAUGUUCUUUGAUAUGCCGAAUCUAACUGUGUAUGUAGAUUCCUAAUUUUUGAUCCUGUUUUCAAGUUGGUCUACAUUAAAGUCCAAAGGGUCCAAAAUUAAACUAAGUUUGAUUUUAACAAAAAUUGAAUUCUUGGGCUUCUUUGAUAUACUGAAUCUAAACAUGUACUUAGAUUUUUGAUUAUGGGCCCAGUUUUCAAGUUGGUCCAAAUCAGGAUCCAAAAUUAUUAUAUUAAGUAUUGUGCAAUAGCAAGAAAUUUUCAAUUGCACAGUAUUGCGCAAUGGCAAGAAAUAUCUAAUUGCACAAUAUUGUGAAAUAGCAAAUUUUUUUUAAUUAGAGUUAUCUUUCUUUGUCCAGAAUAGUAAGCAAGAAAUAUCUAAUUGCAAAAUAUUGUGCAAUAGCAAGAUUUUUUUUUAAUUGGAGUUAUCUUUCUUUGUCCAGAAUCAACUUAAAUCUUUGUUAUAUACAAUAUACAAUGUAUAUUCACUUUUUACUACCAACUGAUAAAUUAAAAUAAUCUUUACCAUUCAGUGAUAACAAGCAGUUUUUUUACAUCUUAAUAUUUUAUGAUGUAUUUAAAUGAGUAGUUAUUGUUGCAAACUCCAUUAGAAAUUUUAAUUGAGAUUAGUUUUGGAAUUAGGGAAAGGGGGAUGUGAUUAAAAAAAUUGGGUUCAAUUUUUCUCAUUUGAAAUUUCAUAAAUAAAAAAGAAAAUUUCUUCAAACAUUUUUUUGAGAGGAUUAAUAUUCAACAGCAUAGUGAAUUGCUCUAAGAGAAAACAAAAAAUUUUAAGUUCAUUAGAACACAUUCAUUCUGUGUCAGAAACCUAUGCUGUGUCAACUAUUUAAUCACAAUCCAAAUUUAGAGCUGAAUCCAGCUUGAAUGUUGUGUCCAUACUUGCCCCAACCGUUCAGGGUUCAACCUCUGCGGUCGUAUAAAGCUACGCCCUGCGGAGCAUCUGGUUUGAUAUGUUGAAGCUAAACAUGUACUUAGAUUUUUGAUUAUGGGCCCAGAUUUCAAGUUGGUUCAAAUCAGGAUCCAAAAUUAUUAUUAUAUGAAGUAUUGUGCAAUAGCAAGAAAUUUUCAAUUGCACACAGUAUUCAGCAAUAGCAAGAAAUCUUCAAUUGCACAGUAUUGUACAAUAGGAAGAAAUUUUCAAUUGACAUACAAGCAAGAAUAUCAAGUAUUUGCAAUAGCAAGAAAUUUUCAAUUCACAGUAUUGUGCAAUAGCAAGAAAUUUUCAAUUGCACAGUAUUGUGCAAUAGCAAGAAAUUUCAAUUGCACAGUAUUUGCAAUAGCAAAUAUGCAAAUAAUAUAUCUAAAUGCACAACAUUGUGCCAUAGCAAGAAAUUUUCAAUUGGAGUUAUCUUUCUUUGUCCAGAAUAGUAGUUGAAUCAACUUAAAUCAUUGUUUUAUACAAUAUACAAUGUAUAUUCACUUUUACUACCAACUGAUAAAUUAAAACAAACUUUACCAUUCAGUGAUAACAAGCACUUUAUUUUACAUUUUAAUAUUUUAUGAUGUAUUUAUAUGAGUAGUUAUUGUUGCAAACUCUAUUAGUAAUUUGAAUUGAGAUCAGUUUUGGAAUAAGGGAAAGGGGGAUGUGAAAAAAAAAUUGGGAGGGGGGGGGGGUUCAAUUUUUCUCAUUUCAGAUUUCAUAAAUAAACAGAAAAUUUCUUUUAACAUUUUUUUGAGAGGAUUAAUAUUCAACACAUGCAACAGCAUAGUGAAUUGCUCAAAGGCAACAUACAAAUUUUAAGAUUAUUAGACCACAUUCAUUCUGUGUCAGAAACCUAUGCUGUGUCAACUAUUUAAUCACAAUCCAAAUUUAGAGCUGAAUCCAGCUUGAAUUUUGUGUCCAUACUUGCCCCAACCGUUCAGGGUUCAACCUCUGCGGUCGUAUAAAGCUGCACCCUGCGGAGCAUCUGGUUCUAUUUUGCAGAUAAUGACUUGUGUUUAAGUGUAUGGAUAUCUCUUAAAUUGUACUACAAGGUUCUAUACUACAAAGGAAUGGCUAAGAUAGAGUUUGGGGGUAAUUUCACCAAGCGGGGUUCAAAAAGUUGGAGGGGGGGGGGGUGUUUUCUCCCACUUUUUUUUAGGAGUUCAUAUUUUCAAACAAAAAAAGAAAAGUUUCAAGAAGAAAUCUUAAGUUGCACAGCAUGCACAGUAUUGGGCAAUAGAUUUGUAAGAUCCCUGACCACAUUUAUUUUGUGUCAGAAACCUUUUAAUAUCACUAGAACACACCCGUGAUAUCGCGGGUCCUUGACUGAAUUAAAGUAUAUAACUAUGCGCAAGCCUUAUUUUAGUAUUAGUAUUGGCAUCUGAUAAAGUCAUGCCGAUUAUAAGAUACACAGUUUUCUCUGCUUUCAAAUCCUUCAAACUGGAACUUAUCAAUUAUUGGUAAUAUUAAUUAUUUGGAAAACAAAAGGUCCUGGAAUGGAGUAUUUUUUAAUCAACAGCAUUGUCCUAUAUUAGUUAUGAAUAAAGUUGAAUUCUUUGAUUCGCUGUUUUACGUCAUGCCCGCUAACAAAUUGAAAACUGUACCUAUACGCUUUGUUUUUAGUCACAGAUUUUUAGUAUUCGUAUUGUUAUCUUAGAAAGUCUUACUGAUCAAAAUACUACAAUGGGUAGCAAUUUGACAAUUUAGUAGUGUCAACCCUGUGAUUAUGACCCGUGUAUAUAGCAUACACCGUUUGGUGGUGCGCCUGUCAGAUGCGGAACGUACAGAUAAGGUAAUUGGUAACAGGUGAAUAUACUAUUGGUAUCGGUAUCGGACUCGACCCGGAACUUCUUAAUUAUUGGCAAUAUUAAUUACGUGGAACACAAAAGGGCCUAGAGUGGUGUAAUUUUUAAUCUACACCUUUGUACUAUAUUAGUUAUAUGUAAAGUUGAAUUCUUUGAUUCGUCGUUUUUACGUGAUGACGGCUGACAAAUUGGACCUCGUAAUUUUAGUAUUAUAGAUGUCAAAAAUUUUAUCACAAUCUAAAUUCAGACAGUAUCAUUUGACAGUGAAAAUUGUGUCCAAAUUUGCCCAAACUGUUCAGGGUAAGACAUCUGUGGUUGUAUCAGGCUGUGCUCAGCGUGUUCAUUUCCGUUUCCGGUUACCGUAAAAAACAUCGUUUCCUUCAAAACUUCCUGUUUCAAAUUUCGUAUUUCUUCGAGUAAUUUAAAAUGAUUCUGCAGCUCUUCAUAACAAAAUCAUUUACGAGAAUAGAGAAUGAUUACGAGAAGGCAUGAAAUAUCGGGUUACAAGUAAAACGCUGUUCCAAGAGCGCAAAUCGCAGCAAUACAAAUUUUCUGUGAUUAGAAAAGGUGAUUUUUUUAUGAUAAAAUCACUUUGUGCAGGAAUCUUGGACUGUGAAUUAUAUCCAAAGAACAAGAAUUGUGAAAUACAUUGGUGCAAAAACAUAACUGGAUUAAAUAAAUUGACACAAGCACGAACUUGUUUGAUUUUUGACAGUAGAUUGAGUUCAAAAAUUCGGCAAACAAACACUUAGAUUACUCAUGGCCAUUUUUUUUUUUUUUGGACAAACAGCAAACACCUACUUGGCAUCUCUCAAAGAAUAUUUCACAACUUCUUUCUUUUGUUAAGUUCAUGUUUACAUAUAAUAAUUAUUGUAUCUAAGAAGAAUCAUAAAAGUUGCACGUACCAUCUAUUUUUUCAAAACUGUUUAGUUUUCAUUUAUUCUGUACUCGUAAUUCUUUGUUGCAUACCAUGAUAUUUGUUCAUUUUAUGGAGACAAAAAAAAAUUGCUAGAAGACAAAUAAAUUUGGUGAGGUAGUCCAAUGAAGAGAGCAUUCUCUAUGUUUUUGCUGUUACUAAAAUAGUUCUAAAGCAGCAGAACAUGUACGUAGAACAGUGGUUACAACAGAGUUUUUAUUUAGAUUUGAAAAGUAUGUAGAUUUCAUAUACAUAUAUAUACAUGAUUAAGUUAUUAUUAUACUGCAUAUAUCUGAAGAACACAUCACAAUGAGGGUUUCAUAAGAAUAAAAAAUUAAAAUAUAAAAUCCUCCACCCGCCCAUUUUUUUCAAAAAUUUAGAUGAAAAUCUACUAAUUAAUUUUAGUUGGCCUUACAAUGCUUUGAUAUUUACAUGCAAGUUAUGUUUGUUGUUAUUUAAAAUUGUACUUCACCAUUAUAAGUUGUUCAAUGUACAGUCAGGGGUACUACUAGUACAAGUUAUUUUUAAGUGAAUUAUAUUUACUUGUAUAGGUAAACAAAAAGUCAUCCUAUCUUCUUUUAUUGAAUUCUUAGGAUUUCUUUGCUCUAAUCGAAUCCUUGCUCUUAUACAAUUUUAAGUUAUCUGCCCUUUGCAGAUGUCUUUACUAAAUAUUUAAAAUUUAUUUAUUGCAAUGAAAAUCUAUGUCUGUUAUCUUCAGAACACUGCUCAUUACAACUCCAGGAGCAAUUUAGAAGGCCUUGGCAAAUACUUAGAUCUUUGCGCAUCAGUUUCUUGUUGAAUUAAUGAGAUAACAUUGAACUCUAAUUAAAAAAUAUGAGCUAACCUGGGAAAAAUCAUUUUAAAAAGCCUUGAUUUUCCAUCUCAAAACUUGAGAAUAUUUGUAGGAUUGUAACUUUGUAAGAAAAAUUUACUUAUGCAAGUAAUUUUUUGAGAAAUUAAAGGGAGAUUAUUUAAACAUUAUUAAUUUACUUAUAUGUGUAUAUUUUUUUUACUUCUUCAAGUAAAUAAAAAUAACUUGUACAAGUAGUACCCCUGACUGAUGUAAAGAAUGAAAUAUAACUGGAUUUUUUUUAGGAAAUAAAAAGAGUCUUAAUAGUUGAAAAGAUGCCACGAAAAAAGAAAAAAUCCAAAGAUGUUAUAAGGCGAGAGGACAGAGAAAGAAAAAGAAAAAAAGUAAGAAAAGACAACUUUCAAGUUUUUUUGAAAUGGGG
rnacentral:lncRNA from 1 species